rnacentral:rRNA from 1 species
UACGUAGGGUGCAAGCGUUAAUCGGAAUUACUGGGCGUAAAGCGUGCGCAGGCGGUGAUGUAAGACAGAUGUGAAAUCCCCGGGCUCAACCUGGGAACUGCAUUUGUGACUGCAUCGCUGGAGUGCGGCAGAGGGGGAUGGAAUUCCGUGUGUAGCAGUGAAAUGCGUAGAUAUGCGGAGGAACACCGAUGGCGAAGGCAAUCCCCUGGGCCUGCACUGACGCUCAUGCACGAAAGCGUGGGGAGCAAACAGG